rnacentral:lncRNA from 1 species
GGGAAUCGAGAGUUUUCAGGAGAGAGGGAAAAGAAAAGAGAGAGAGAGGAAGAAAAGAAAGAAAGAAAGAUAAAAAAUGAAAAUGAAAAAGGAGGAGAUAAAAGGGAAAGAGAAGGAAAGAAGGGGAGAGAGAGGGACAGCAGAGAGCUCAAGCACAAAGAAAGAAGAAAGAAGAGAAAAGAAGAAACGGGGUUUUGUGCGUUCUCGCAAUGGGAGCCUCGCCAAGCCACCUUAACUCCAUAACGCAACUCCCGGUAAGUACUCGUGCUCCCCCUUCGUUCAAUCGGAGUAGUUUCGGACUUAAAGGGUUGAAAUUCGGAACUUUAGGAAAAUCGAGCGGCGAAGUAUGAUUUUUGAGUCGUUGAGCCACGUUUUUUUAUAUAAAUUAUAGUUUAGGGUGUUGUGGGACGGAUUUUACGGAUCGUGUGAUUUGAGCUUACGGUUUAACCGAAAUAAAAUUUUGAAGUUUAUCUUGCGUGAUGAACAGUACGCGACAGGACUUCAGGGCCAUAUUUUGUUGACUUUCAGCUUGAUUUCGGGUUGGCUAAAUUGGGGUUCUUGUAGUGUGUUGGAUGGGCUUUCCAUUGAUUAUAAGUAUGCUUUAAACGGAGUCGGUGGAGAAAAUUAUGGUAUGAUAAAGUUUCGUGCUCAAGCUUCGCGCUAUGGACAGCUUUGAGUAAUUGUUUUGGUUUAGCAAUUUAUUGGCGUAUGGGGGUCAUUUUCUAAGUGCUCAUGCUUAGUUUAAUCAAGUCAUAGUAGAGGUAGCAUUUUACUCGAUUGUAAUGUUGCUUCUCGCUUAUUUGAUAGGAUCGCGAGUUCAACGAAUCGAAUGACGCUUGUUAUUUGAUCAUAACUAUUCCAAGGUAAGUGGUGUUAUCUCUUCUAAGAAUUUAUAAACUCAUAUCUUCAAAAUUAUAAAGAUUUGACAUUUUAUGAGUUAUGAAUAAGCAUGUUUGUUGUAUAAAAGUUGGAUCGGGCAUUUACUACGUUUUGAUAUUUUAAAAUAAUGUGAGAACUUUUUGGUGGAAAUAUAUACUUCGUUUGAUGAACAAAAGUUGAGAAAUAUUACAUGUUUUGGAUUUGUACGUGGAACCAUGGCUUGUAAGACAAAGCAGCGUUUAUAAAGAAAUAUAUGAUUACUGAGCCAUCGUGUUAGGCAAAGAAGACGAGAAUGAGCAUUAUAAGCCCAUGUAGUCAAGUCUACGUGACCUACCACUACCAGUUUAUAAAUAGAUUAGCGUCCUUAACUUAUAUCGAUGAAUCAGCUAGAGUGAGAUGAACAUUUUUGGAGAAUUCAUCACCUAUAGAGUUGCUUAAAAUUUAGUUGAUUCAUGUUCAUUCAUCACCACUGCUGAGAUAAGAUUAAUUGCAGCCAGAAAGACUGUUGGUUUGGCCAAAAUGGCCAAAAAGACCCUGGUUUUGACCCUUUGUUGCUAUGCCAAUUGAAGAUUGUCCAUGUUGGAAUCAAAUUUCAUUAGAAAAGCCAUGUUGAAAUCAAAAUUUGAUUUGAAAAAUCACAUGGGAUAAAUUGCUAGAAUAGACAUUUAAGUAAUUGAUUUUUCACCAAUGCUAAGUAAUCGGAAAAAGAAAAAAAUAGGUGAGCAUUGUAUGAAAGAUAAUGAUACAUUCUUUUUUUGAAGAGUUAGUAAAUCAUGCUAAUUUAGGUUCAUGAUCUCUCUAAAGAGUUAGCAAAUUUAGGGAGUUAUUAUCUAUGUAAGUUAACAAAAAACACAAUUAAACAUUGAUAAGUCGCUCAAAUGAGAGUUGAUAACUCCAAACUAGUUGGUAAUUUUAUCUAAUAAAAGUUGGUAAGUGAAUUUUAUUUAGGUUGCUAAUUUCAUAUGAGAUUAAGAUAUUUGAAGCGUCAUGAGUUAUGUAAAUGAAAAUUGAUAAUUUGCAAAUUUGAGAUUUUUCGUUGCAUUAAUCUUGUGGAUUUUCACGUAGACUUGCCACGUCAUUGUAUGUGUCAUCCAUGUUAGAAAAUUAAUGGUAAAAUUUGAUGGAAGUUAAUAGAGGGUAAAUUUGUCAUCGGUAUGCCAUUUGAGGAUUUUUGGUUAUCAAAAAAUAAAUUUUGGAUACAUUUGUCGCGGAUGUAUUAGUUAGGAGUUUUUUUUAUGGUAAAAGAUUAAUUUUAAAUAAAAUUGUCACGAAUGUACCGGUUUAGAAUUUUUUAUAGUUAAAAAAUUAAUUUUGGAUAAAUUUGUCAUCAAUUCGGAAUUUUUUAAUGUAUUAAUCCUAUUGCGUGUGAACA